rnacentral:rRNA from 1 species
AACGCGAAGAACCUUACCAGCUCUUGACAUGCCCGGUAUGGGCGGGAGAGAUCCCGUCCUUCGGUUCGGCCGGCCGGGACACAGGUGCUGCAUGGCUGUCGUCAGCUCGUGUCGUGAGAUGUUGGGUUAAGUCCCGCAACGAGCGCAACCCUUAUCCCUAGUUGCCAUCGGGUCAAGCCGGGCACUCUAGUGAAACUGCCUGGGAUAACCAGGAGGAAGGUGGGGAUGACGUCAAGUCCUCAUGGCCUUUAUGUCCAGGGCUACACACGUGCUACAAUGGUCGGUACAAACCGUCGCAAACCCGUGAGGGGGAGCUAAUCGGAAAAAGCCGACCUCAGUUCGGAUUGGAGUCUGCAACUCGACUCCAUGAAGCUGGAAUCGCUAGUAAUCGCGGAUCAGAACGCCGCGGUGAAUACGUUCCCGGGCCUUGUACACACCGGAGUA